UACGGAGGGGGCUAGCGUUGUUCGGAAUUACUGGGCGUAAAGCGCACGUAGGCGGCUUUGCAAGUUAGAGGUGAAAGCCCGGGGCUCAACCCCGGAAUUGCCUUUAAAACUGCAUCGCUAGAAUUGUGGAGAGGUAAGUGGAAUUCCGAGUGUAGAGGUGAAAUUCGUAGAUAUUCGGAAGAACACCAGUGGCGAAGGCGACUUACUGGACACAUAUUGACGCUGGGGUGCGAAAGCGUGGGGAGCAAACAGG
rnacentral:rRNA from 1 species